UACGGAGGAUCCAAGCGUUGUCCGGAAUCAUUGGGUUUAAAGGGUCCGUAGGCGGUUUGGUAAGUCAGUGGUGAAAGCCCAUCGCUCAACGGUGGAACGGCCAUUGAUACUGCCAGACUUGAAUUAUUAGGAAGUAACUAGAAUAUGUAGUGUAGCGGUGAAAUGCUUAGAGAUUACAUGGAAUACCAAUUGCGAAGGCAGGUUACUACUAAUGGAUUGACGCUGAUGGACGAAAGCGUGGGUAGCGAACAGG
rnacentral:rRNA from 1 species